rnacentral:rRNA from 1 species
GAUGAACGCUGGCGGCGUGCCUAAUACAUGCAAGUCGAGCGAACGGACGAUAAGCUUUCUUCUCUGAUGUUAGCGUCUGACGUGUGAGUAACACGUGUAUAACCUUCCUUUUUUUCUGGUAUAACUUCGGGAAUCCGUAUCUAAUACCGUAUAAUAUUUUGUACCGCAUUGUUCAUAAGUGAAUGACGGUCUUUCUGUCUCUUUUAGAUUGAUCCGCGCUGCAUUAUCUAGUUGGUAAGGUAACGUCUUACCAAGGCAACGAUGCAUAGCCGACCUGAGAGGAUGAUCGGCAAAACGGGAACUGAGACACGGUAAAGAAUACUACGGGAGGCAGCAGUAGGGAAUAUUCGGCAAUGGGCGAAAGCCUGACGGAGCAACGCCGCGUGAGUGAAGAAGGUCUUCGGAUCGUAAAACUCUGUUAUUAGGGAAGAAAAGAAGUGUAAGAAAAUGUGCACAUAGUGACGGUAACUAAUCAGAAAGCAACGGCUAACUACGUG